GGUGGAUCUCCUAGACGACCACCAGAGUCUCCUCGUCGGCGACCUGAUUCUCCGGUUCGUCGUCGUGGUGAAACACCUCCUAGGCGCCGACCUGCCUCUCCUGCUAGAGGUCGUUCUCCAUUGUCUCCUCCACGGCGUCUUCGAUCUCCAGCAAGGUCUGUUAGUCCUAAUAGGUAAUAGCUUGUUUAAAUGAACUGGUUUUGAAAGAUUUUGACCCAUUUAAUGUUUUCAGGACCUCUCCGCGUAGGAUGCGUGGCAGUCCAAUCCGAAGGCGUUCUCCACCUCCAAGGCGCCGGUAUGCAUGCGAUUUAUUUAUUUCCAUAAUGCUUUAAUUUUAUUGCCCUAAGGUACUAGUGAGUCGACGCAACUUGUGAAUAAAUGAAUAAAUUCACAUCUUACUGAAUCAGAGAAAUCAAGAGUGCUAUAAUUUGCUAGGCAAACCCAGUAUUGGCCGUUUUAACUAACACUUUGGCGUUGAUUUCUUGCCAGUAUGAAGUGUAGAUUAGUCGAGACAAAGUAGUUCAACUAUAAUUUGCUUACUAUUAAGUUUUAUUACAGUUCACCUCCCAGACGACCUCGUAGCCCUCCAAGAAGGUCUCCAUUCAAUCGUAGACGUAGCCCUUCUCCAAUUCGUAGGCGGAGCCGUUCUCCAAUUCGCAGGCCUCUUCGUUCUCGUUCAAGGUCAAUCUCAC
rnacentral:lncRNA from 1 species